AUUGAACGCUGGCGGCAGGCCUAACACAUGCAAGUCGAACGGUAACAGGAAGAAGCUUGCUUCUUUGCUGACGAGUGGCGGACGGGUGAGUAAUGUCUGGGAAACUGCCUGAUGGAGGGGGAUAACUACUGGAAACGGUAGCUAAUACCGCAUAACGUCGCAAGACCAAAGAGGGGGACCUUCGGGCCUCUUGCCAUCGGAUGUGCCCAGAUGGGAUUAGCUAGUUGGUGGGGUAACGGCUCACCAAGGCGACGAUCCCUAGCUGGUCUGAGGGGAGGACCAGCCAACCGGGAAGUGGGACACGGUCCAGACUCCUACGGGAGGCAGCAGUGGGGAAUAUUGCACAAUGGGCGCAAGCCUGAUGCAGCCAUGCCGCGUGUAUGAAGAAGGCCUUCGGGUUGUAAAGCUCUUUAAGCGGGGAGGAAGGGCUGAGGGCUAAUAACCUUCAGCAUUGACGUUACCCGCAGAAUAAGCACCGGCUAACUCUGUGCCAGCCGCCGCCGUAAGAC
rnacentral:rRNA from 1 species